ensembl:lncRNA
AUUGUAAGUGUGUUGGAAUACCAGAGUCGGAGACAAGAUGGAACUUUAACCCAACAGGUGUGUUUAUUAACAGUUUUGUUGCAAUGGAUAAUGGAAGGUGAGUUUAAAUUAACAAACAUACUUAGUUAAAUCAGUCUCGAUACUCAUGAAUGUUUUCCUUGUAUUAAUCAGAGAAGGAAAGCACACACUGAACAGAUGAGAUGAUGGAGGUUGCCAGGAGCUGGGGAUAGAUGAGUAUAGAGGGUUUGGAGUAUGGAGAUCAGAGGAGACGCUGGAGAACACGAGGUAGACAAAGGAGAUCUUGGAUGGAGCAUGACAAUCUCUGGUGGAGUAGAUGGUAUUGUCGUAGAGGGAAGAGCAAGAGGGAAACUGUAAGAAGACAUAAACAGAGAUGAAGUGGACAGAAGGGUGGAAGGAGAGCUAGAAGGUACAGACAAACUAAAUUGACCAUGUAAGAAGUCAUGUCCUUUCCAUGAAGACGCUGGUAAAUAGAUCUUAAGAGUUUGUCAAUACUCUUCUAUAUUUAUAAAUAUUGUGCAAGUACAGAUAAUAGUGAUCCUGGGACAACGUCUGUUCUUUACAUGUAAAUGUACAAACAUUUUUUUUUAGAAUUUAAGUUUGAGAACAUUCAGGUGGACAAUCAGGUUUAUUUUGAAUGGAACAAGAACACUGUUGACAUGGUGGUCCAGAACAACACCACCAGCCACAAAGGAAGAGGCCUGUGGAGAUACUGAGAAAGGAGCUAGUGUAUAAAGUGUAUAAACACACACACACACACACCACGGUGCUUAUAAGACUGUAGUUAUUAGAUACCUAGUUAUCUGAAGUGUUUGUUUGCACAACCAGAACCUUUUUUUUUCACAACCAGAUUUCUAAGUUUAAAGCUAUUUAUUUAUUUAUUUUUAUUUUAUUUUAUUUUAUUUUAUUUUAUUUUAUUUCACAUGGCUGACAGGUGUUGGAUAACUGUUUUUUUUUUUUUUUUUAGUUUAGAUAUACACAGUAUACUAUAUAAAGCAAAGCUCCCUGUUGAAGAACUUUGCAAUAAACAUGUUUUCUUCAGUGCA